GGAUUAGAUACCCUGGUAGUCCACGCCCUAAACGAUGAGAACUAGCCGUUGGGGGCAUCUAAGCCCUUAGUGGCGCAGCUAACGCGUUAAGUUCUCCGCCUGGGGAGUACGGCCGCAAGGUUAAAACUCAAAGGAAUUGACGGGGGCCCGCACAAGCGGUGGAGCAUGUGGUUUAAUUCGAUGCAACGCGAAGAACCUUACCUGCCCUUGACAUCCUCAGAACUUGUUAGAGAUAACUUGGUGCCUUCGGGAACUGAGUGACAGGUGCUGCAUGGCUGUCGUCAGCUCGUGCCG
rnacentral:rRNA from 1 species